UGGGUUUUUAAAAGAAACUGCAGUGAAGCAU
rnacentral:piRNA from 1 species